GGGUGCUUGAGACUAUCUGUCUCGAGCAUUUGCAGAAGGCGGAUAGAGAAAAGCCCCAAGUGAUCUUUCAAUCAACUUGAGGCCCUCUUAUGCUUCGCAACAUAAAGGUAGCCUCUUACAUGCCGAAAGGCAAGGAGAAGAAGGCUAUG
rnacentral:antisense_RNA from 1 species